rnacentral:rRNA from 1 species
UACGGAGGGGGCUAGCGUUGUUCGGAAUUACUGGGCGUAAAGCGCACGUAGGCGGCUUUGUAAGUUAGAGGUGAAAGCCCAGGGCUUAACCCUGGAAUUGCCUUUAAGACUGCAUCGCUAGAAUCGUGGAGAGGUGAGUGGAAUUCCGAGUGUAGAGGUGAAAUUCGUAGAUAUUGGGAAGAACACCGGUGGCGAAGGCGGCUCUCUGGACCGAGACUGACGCUGAGGCGCGAAAGCGUGGGGAGCAAACAGG